rnacentral:rRNA from 1 species
AAUGAACGUUGGCGGCAUGGAUUAGGCAUGCAAGUCGAGCGCGAAACGUAGCAAUACGUGGAGAGCGGCGAAGGGGAGAGGAAUAUAUAGAUACCUACCUUCUGGUCUGGGAUAGCGGCGGGAAACUGCCGGUAAUACCAGAUAACGUCUCCGGACCAAAGGUGUGAUUCCACCGGGAGAGGGGUCUAUAUCCUAUCAGCUAGUUGGUAAGGUAACGGCUUACCAAGGCUAAGACGGGUACGGGGUGUGAGAGCAUGCCCCCGCUCACUGGACUGAGACACUGCCCAGACACCUACGGGUGGCUGCAGUCGAGAAUCUUCGGCAAUGGGCGAAAGCCUGACCGAGCGAUGCCGCGUGUGGGAUGAAGGCCUUCGGGUUGUAAACCACUGUCGUAGGGGAUUAAUGGUAGGUGGGUUCUCCCAUCUAUUUGAACGAUCCUAGGAGGAAGGACGGGCUAAGUUCGUGCCAGCAGCCGCCGUAA